AUUGAACGCUGGCGGCAGGCCUAACACAUGCAAGUCGAGCGGAUGAAGGGAGCUUGCUCCUGGAUUCAGCGGCGGACGGGUGAGUAAUGCCUAGGAAUCUGCCUGGUAGUGGGGGAUAACGUCCGGAAACGGGCGCUAAUACCGCAUACGUCCUGAGGGAGAAAGUGGGGGAUCUUCGGACCUCACGCUAUCAGAUGAGCCUAGGUCGGAUUAGCUAGUUGGUGGGGUAAAGGCCUACCAAGGCGACGAUCCGUAACUGGUCUGAGUGGAUGAUCAGUCACACUGGAACUGAGACACGGUCCAGACUCCUACGGGAGGCAGCAGUGGGGAAUAUUGGACAAUGGGCGAAAGCCUGAUCCAGCCAUGCCGCGUGUGUGAAGAAGGUCUUCGGAUUGUAAAGCACUUUAAGUUGGGAGGAAGGGCAGUAAGUUAAUACCUGGCUGUUUUGACGUUACCAACAGAAUAAGCACCGGCUAACUUCGUG
rnacentral:rRNA from 1 species